UACGUAGGGUGCAAGCGUUAAUCGGAAUUAUUGGGCGUAAAGGGUGCGUAGGCGGUUUGUUAAGACGGAUGUGAAAUCCCUGGGCUCAACCUGGGAACUGCAUACGUGACUGGCAGACUAGAGUAUGGCAGAGGGAGGUGGAAUUCCACGUGUAGCAGUGAAAUGCGUGAUAGUAUGGUGAGGAACACCGAUGGCGAAGGCAGCCUCCUGGGCCAAUACUGACGCUGAGGCACGAAAGCGUGGGGAGCAAACACGGAU
rnacentral:rRNA from 1 species